rnacentral:rRNA from 1 species
AGUGAACGCUGGCGGCAGGCCUAACACAUGCAAGUCGAGCGAGCGGCGGACGGGUGAGGAAUGCGUCGGAAUCUGCCUUUUUGUGGGGGAUAACGUAGGGAAACUUACGCUAAUACCGCAUACAGAAAGAUGAGCCGACGCCGGAUUAGCUAGUUGGCGGGGUAAAGGCCCACCAAGGCGACGAUCCGUAGCUGGUCUGAGAGGAUGAUCAGCCACACUGGAACUGAGACACGGUCCAGACUCCUACGGGAGGCAGCAGUGGGGAAUAUUGGACAAUGGGCGCAAGCCUGAUCCAGCCAUGCCGCGUGAGUGAAGAAGGCCUUCGGGUUGUAAAGCUCUUUUGUUGGGGAAGCGGUACCCAAAGAAUAAGCACCGGCUAACUUCGUGCCAGCAGCCGCGGUAAUAC